UCUCUCUCUCUCUCUCUCUCUCUCUCUCUCUCUCUCUCUCUCGCGUAGUCUCGUGUGCGGUUUGUAUCUAGCUAGGUAUAACAACAGCCCACCCAGUGUGGGUUUCUAGAUCGACGGCUGGUCUAGCUAGCCAGGGACUAGGACCGAUCCAUGGCGUCGUUUGGCAGCGACGACCACGUGCCGGCGGCCAUGGCGGUGAACGAUCUGGUCGAGGCGCGCGACGGCGUGGCGAGGCUCAGGAUCUUGCUGCUGCAGCUGGACGAGCAGCGCGCGGCGUGGGCGCAGCUGGAGAUCGACGCCGUGCUGGCCAAGCUGUCCAGCGCGAUAUCGGCGUUGGAUACAAGCGAAGUAGGCCGGAGCCGGGCCGCCGGACCGGACGGUGCGAGGCCACAGCGACAGCAGUCGGGGAGGUCGGGCGGGAACAAGAGGAAACAAGGUUCCAGCAGAAGCAGAUCACAGCGCCCCUCUGACAAGAAGAUCACUGCUACGCUGGAAGACGGGCACGAGUGGCGGAAGUAUGGGCAGAAAGAGAUCCAAGACUCACCCUAUCCAAGGAGCUACUACAGGUGCACGCACAAGGCAGACCAGGGCUGCAACGCCAAGAGGCAGGUCCAGCGCUGCGAGACGGACGCGUCCACGUACGUCGUCACCUACUACGGCGAGCACACGUGCCGGGACCUCUCGUCGAUCCCGCUCAUCCACCAGGCCGCCGCCGCCCGCGCGGAGGAGCCCGACGACGACCGUGCCAACAACCUCAUCAGCUUCGGCUCCAACUCCAACAACGCGGCCAGCAACGGCGCCUCUUCCUCGCAGCAGCAGUACCAGCUGGCGAUGGGCAGGAGCGCCGCCGACCACCACCAGCAGCUGUCCACGUCGUGGUGCACCAGCGACGACGUGUUCAGCUCGUCGGCCGGCUCGUUCAUGCAGGUGGCGGACGACCAGCUGAUCGGCGCCGUCGUCGUGGGCUCGGCCGGGGUGGCGUCGUCGGCGCCGGACCGUGCAGCAGGCACACUUCUUGGUGGUGGCGUGGCAAGCGGCGGCGGAGGCGCAGCCGCCGCCGGCAGUUUCCCGCCUUCUCCCAACAGCCUCGACUUCGUGGUCGGAUCGCUCGGGAGCAUAGGCGGCGGUGAGGACGACGAGGACAUGUUUAGACUGGAUCCAUAGCAAGGAAUCGAGCUAUGUCAGCCCUUGUUCGUUUGUACCGAAUUGCAGCCUAGCGGGGUGGGAGAAGAGAACAUGCAUGAUGUGUCACGCAAUCACGUACGGGUGGCGUCUUGAAGAGGAGACAAUUUUUACACUGUUUGCGGUUGAGGCGAUGAGCCCGUAAAUUAAAGAAUGCUGGGUGGCGAUGAGCGAGGUUUCAGACGAAGAGGCUGAAUGAACAUGACAGUAUGUUUUGACGCCGCCGUAGCAAUAUAAUGGCCAUCAGCAUUGUGAUGUGUUUAAUUUCUUGCAAGAAAAAGGUACGGGUUAUCUUUACUUUUAACUUACAAUAAUAUGCUAAAAUAUGCCUCUAUCUCAGAGGAAAACACGCAGGAAUGGAGGUUCUUUUGACAAUCUCAAAUGGGAAUAUAUUGUUAGAUUAUGUGGUGCCUAGGAUUGAUUCCUAAACCUCUAGAAUACUAAUCCAUAACUGUAAAGGCUCAAUGACGAAUAGAUCUAAUCUACAAAGAGGUGUAGGGUUACAUACCUUUAUUGUUGUUCAGGGGCGGCAGCAAUGACGGCGGCUCCGCCUCCCUGUGUGUUCCGGCGUCGUUGGUUAGCAGUGGAUCGUCUCCUCCAGUGCCACAUGCAUGGGAAGGUCAGAUCCCAUUCCCGUUGGAGGAACUGGCGCCAUAUAUUGCAGCUCUUCUAGUCACUCCGAAUGCCUAGGGGGUGGAGACAUGUGGAAUGUUGAUUAGGGUUUUAUGGUCGAGCGUUAAUGUUGGCUUAACCCGUCGCCCCCUCUAAUCGUAUUUAUAUGGUGUCGUGUGACCGGGAUACAAUCAACGGUUGGAAUAACCUUCAAUCAGGGGCGCGGUUAGAUGGCUAGGAUUAACACUACCCGGUUCUUGUUAACCGGCUCGUGCAGACGACACACCCUAACAUACAUCACUCUUUUUCACUGGUUCGGUUAUAUUGAAAUUUUUUGUUCAAUAGAAGGGCAGUAUUUGAGGUGGCGUCUAUAUUGGCAUGUGGACACAUGCGCAUCUAAUCACCUUCUCAUCGCCCUCUAACCAGCCUGCUCCUGUCCGUUUGGUGCUGCACUCCAGUCCUCUCGUACACUCGUGCCGCCGUUCGAUCUGGCUGCAAGAGUACGUAGCUGCGGCGAGGAGCAGGCCUAUUUUGCCCAAGCAUACCGAGCAAUAUCUCCCCAUCCACUGUGCAUCGUUGGGCUGUCUAGCUAGGCUGCUGUUCGGGUGUUUUGGCCUUCUCAUCUCAACAGCCACCGGUUGUUAAGUUCAACUUCAACCCAAAGAAGCAGCCGUAAAGCAGAUGAAAAGAUUUGUAUGUUCUUGUUGCCAAAUAAUGGGCCGAAUAAUGAUAUGGACCAGAUAUCGAUUCUUCAUUCAUAGAGUUCUCCUCCGGUGCUUUCGUCAAUGAAAACAUUCUAGGUGUAUCCACGAACAAUUCAACCAGGCCGGUUUUUUUUUUUUUUUACUUACCUGGCGGCUGGCGGCUAAUGGACCAAACAAUGCGGUGCGGCCAGACGAAAAAACAACAUCAAGGACUGUAGUGAGAAGCUCCACUCGGUUCUCCUUCUCUCAGACGGCAUGGAGCAACGCGGACGAGGCGCCAAGCCUAGCCGCCUGACGCUACAUGGAAGAGGACGCGUUUCUACGACAGAAAAAAUGACGGAAAUCGACCUUUCCGUUUCCGUGACGGAAAGAACUAUUUUCCGACGAUAUUUUUGUGGUUUCUGAA